rnacentral:rRNA from 1 species
UACCCGCAGCUCAAGUGGUGGUCAUUAUUAUUGGGCCUAAAGCGUCCGUAGCUGGCGUGUUAGAUGCCUGGGUAAAUCGAUGCGCUCAACGUAUCGAAUUCCGGGUAGACCGGCACGCUCGAGACCGGGAGAGGUGUAGGCUACUCGCGGGGUAGGGGUAAAAUCCUGUAAUCCUGCGGGGAGGACCAGUGGCGAAGGCGCUACACUAGAACGGCUCUGACAGUGAGGGACGAAGCCCUGGGGCGCAAACCGG